GAAUGAGGGCGAUCUGGCUGCGACAUCUGUCACCCCAUUGAUCGCCAGGAUUGAUUCGGCUGAUCUGUCUGGCUAGGCCGUGUCCCCUCCUCCCUCACUGAUCCAUGUGCAUCCCUCCCGAAGCUGCAUGCUCAGUCGAAGAGGACAACCUUCCCCCCUAAGGAGAGGACCGGUCUUUGGUCAAGGGUAUAUGAGUAGCUGCGCUCCCCUGCUAGAACCUCCAAACAAGCUCUCAAGGCAGCUGAUUUCUUAACAGAAACUUUGCAGGGUGAAAGAGAAGGG
rnacentral:snRNA from 1 species